GAUGAACGCUAGCGGCAGGCCUAAUACAUGCAAGUCGAACGGUGUCUUCGGACAUAGUGGCGCACGGGUGCGUAACACGUAUGCAACCUACCUUACAUUGGGGGAUAGCCUUUCGAAAGGGAGAUUAAUACCGCAUAAGACAGUAGCUGGGCAUCCAGCAGCUGUUAAAGAUUUAUCGAUGUAAGCUGGGCAUGCGUCCAAUUAGCUAGUUGGUGAGGUAACGGCUAACCAAGGCAAUGAUUGGUAGGGGAACUGAGAGGUCAAUCCCCCACACUGGCACUGAGAUACGGGCCAGACUCCUACGGGAGGCAGCAGUAGGGAAUAUUGGGCGAUGGACGCAAGUCUGACCCAGCCAUGCCGCGUGCAGGAUGAAGGCGUUAUGCGUUGUAAACUGCUUUUAUACAGGAAGAAACGACUCUUGCGGGAGGCAUUGACGGUACUGUAUGAAAAAGCACCGGCUAACUCCGUGCCAGCCGCCGCCGUAACAC
rnacentral:rRNA from 1 species